GACGAACGCUGGCGGCGUGCUUAACACAUGCAAGUCGACGAGAAAGGGGGUAGCAAUAUCCCUAGUAAAGUGGCGCACGGGUGAGUAACACGUAGGCAAUCUGCCUUUAGGACGGGGACAACCUCGAGAAAUCGAGGCUAAUACCCGAUGAUGCAGCGGCACCGCAUGGUGACAGUUGUUAAAGGCCCGCAAGGGCGCCUAUAGAUGAGCCUGCGUCCCAUAGGUAGUUGGCGGGGUAACGGCCCACCAAGCCAUCGAUGGGUAGCUGGUCUGAGAGGAUGAUCAGCCACACUGGAACUGAGACACGGUCCAGACUCUACGGAGGCAGCAGUGAGGAAUAUUGCGCAAUGGCCGAAAGGCUGACGCAGCGACGCCGCGUGAAGGAUGAAGUCCGUUAGGAUGUAAACUUCUUUG
rnacentral:rRNA from 1 species